rnacentral:tRNA from 1 species
GCUUUAAUAGUUUAAUAAAAACAUUGGUCUUGUAAACCAAAAAUAAGAUUAAUUCUUCUAAAGCU